GGGACGAACGCUGGCGGCGUGCCUAAUACAUGCAAGUAGAACGCUGAAGAGAGGAGCUUGCUCUUCUUGGAUGAGUUGCGAACGGGUGAGUAACGCGUAGGUAACCUGCCUUGUAGCGGGGGAUAACUAUUGGAAACGAUAGCUAAUACCGCAUAACAAUGGAUGACACAUGUCAUUUAUUUGAAAGGGGCAAUUGCUCCACUACAAGAUGGACCUGCGUUGUAUUAGCUAGUAGGUGAGGUAACGGCUCACCUAGGCGACGAUACAUAGCCGACCUGAGAGGGUGAUCGGCCACACUGGGACUGAGACACGGCCCAGACUCCUACGGGAGGCAGCAGUAGGGAAUCUUCGGCAAUGGGGGCAACCCUGACCGAGCAACGCCGCGUGAGUGAAGAAGGUUUUCGGAUCGUAAAGCUCUGUUGUAAGUCAAGAACGAGUGUGAGAGUGGAAAGUUCACACUGUGACGGUAGCUUACCAGAAAGGGACGGCUAACAACGUGCCAGCAGCCGCGGUAAUACGUAGGUCCCGAGCGUUGUCCGGAUUUAUUGGGCGUAAAGCGAGCGCAGGCGGUUUGAUAAGUCUGAAGUUAAAGGCUGUGGCUCAACCAUAGUUCGCUUUGGAAACUGUCAAACUUGAGUGCAGAAGGGGAGAGUGGAAUUCCAUGUGUAGCGGUGAAAUGCGUAGAUAUAUGGAGGAACACCGGUGGCGAAAGCGGCUCUCUGGUCUGUAACUGACGCUGAGGCUCGAAAGCGUGGGGAGCGAACAGGAUUAGAUACCCUGGUAGUCCACGCCGUAAACGAUGAGUGCUAGGUGUUGGAUCCUUUCCGGGAUUCAGUGCCGCAGCUAACGCAUUAAGCACUCCGCCUGGGGAGUACGACCGCAAGGUUGAAACUCAAAGGAAUUGACGGGGGCCCGCACUAGCGGUGGAGCAUGUGGUUUAAUUCGAAGCAACGCGAAGAACCUUACCAGGUCUUGACAUCCCGAUGCUAUUUCUAGAGAUAGAAAGUUACUUCGGUACAUCGGUGACAGGUGGUGCAUGGUUGUCGUCAGCUCGUGUCGUGAGAUGUUGGGUUAAGUCCCGCAACGAGCGCAACCCCUAUUGUUAGUUGCCAUCAUUCAGUUGGGCACUCUAGCGAGACUGCCGGUAAUAAACCGGAGGAAGGUGGGGAUGACGUCAAAUCAUCAUGCCCCUUAUGACCUGGGCUACACACGUGCUACAAUGGUUGGUACAACGAGUUGCGAGUCGGUGACGGCAAGCUAAUCUCUUAAAGCCAAUCUCAGUUCGGAUUGUAGGCUGCAACUCGCCUACAUGAAGUCGGAAUCGCUAGUAAUCGCGGAUCAGCACGCCGCGGUGAAUACGUUCCCGGGCCUUGUACACACCGCCCGUCACACCACGAGAGUUUGUAACACCCGAAGUCGGUGAGGUAACCUUUUGGAGCCAGCCGCCUAAGGUGGGAUAGAUGAUUGGGGUGAAGUCGGAACAAGGUA
rnacentral:rRNA from 1 species